rnacentral:rRNA from 1 species
GACGGAGGAUGCAAGCGUUAUCCGGAAUUAUUGGGCGUAAAGCGUCCGCAGGUGGACAUACAAGUCUGCUGUCAAAGUGCAGAGCUUAACUCUGUAAAGGCGGUGGAAACUGUAGGUCUUGAGUAUGGUAGGGGUAGAGGGAAUUCCCGGUGUAGCGGUGAAAUGCGUAGAUAUCGGGAAGAACACCAGUGGCGAAAGCGCUCUACUGGGCCAUAACUGGCACUGAGGGACGAAAGCUAGGGGAGCGAAAGGG